rnacentral:rRNA from 1 species
GACGAACGCUGGCGGCGUGCUUAACACGUGCAAGUCGAACGAUGAAGCUGGAGCUUGCUCCGGUGGAUUAGUGGCGAACGGGUGAGUAACACGUGAGCAAUCUGCCCUUGACUCUGGGAUAACUGCGGGAAACUGUAGCUAAUACCGGAUACUUUCACUGGAAGGCAUCUUCUGGUGAAGAAAGAAUCUCGGUCAAGGAUGAGCUCGCGGCCUAUCAGCUUGUUGGUGAGGUAACGGCUCACCAAGGCGACGACGGGUAGCCGGCCUGAGAGGGUGACCGGCCACACUGGGACUGAGACACGGCCCAGACUCCUACGGGAGGCAGCAGUGGGGAAUAUUGGGCAAUGGAGGAAACUCUGACCCAGCGACGCCGCGUGAGGGAUGAAGGCCUUCGGGUUGUAAACCUCUUUCAGCAGGGAAUAAGCGAAAGUGAAGGUACCUGCAGAAGAAGCACCGGCUAACUAUGUGCCAGCCGCCGCGGUAA